rnacentral:rRNA from 1 species
AUUGAACGCUGGCGGCAGGCCUAACACAUGCAAGUCGAGCGGAUGAAGGGAGCUUGCUCCUGGAUUCAGCGGCGGACGGGUGAGUAAUGCCUAGGAAUCUGCCUGGUAGUGGGGGAUAACGUCCGGAAACGGGCGCUAAUACCGCAUACGUCCUGAGGGAGAAAGUGGGGGAUCUUCGGACCUCACGCUAUCAGAUGAGCCUAGGUCGGAUUAGCUAGUUGGUGGGGUAAAGGCCUACCAAGGCGACGAUCCGUAACUGGUCUGAGAGGAUGAUCAGUCACACUGGACCUGAGACACGGUCCAGACUCCUACGGGAGGCAGCAGUGGGGAAUAUUGGACAAUGGGCGAAAGCCUGAUCCAGCCAUGCCGCGUGUGUGAAGGAGGUCUUCGGAUUGUAAAGCACUUUAAGUUGGGAGGAAGGGAAGUAAGUUAAUACCUUGCUGUUUUGACUUUACCAACAGAAUAAGCACCGGCUAACUUCGU